rnacentral:rRNA from 1 species
GACGAACGCUGGCGGCGUGCUUAACACAUGCAAGUCGAACGGUGAAGCGAGUGCUUGCACUCGUGGAUCAGUGGCGAACGGGUGAGUAACACGUGAGUAACCUGCCCAUCACUCUGGGAUAAGCACUGGAAACGGUGUCUAAUACUGGAUACGACCAACACUUGCAUGGGGUGUUGGUGGAAAGAUUUAUCGGUGAUGGAUGGACUCGCGGCCUAUCAGCUUGUUGGCGGGGUAAUGGCCCACCAAGGCGACGACGGGUAGCCGGCCUGAGAGGGUGACCGGCCACACUGGGACUGAGACACGGCCCAGACUCCUACGGGAGGCAGCAGUGGGGAAUAUUGCACAAUGGGCGAAAGCCUGAUGCAGCGACGCCGCGUGAGGGAUGACGGCCUUCGGGUUGUAAACCUCUUUCAGCAGGGAAGAAGCGAAAGUGACGGUACCUGCAGAAGAAGCACCGGCUAACUACGUG